rnacentral:rRNA from 1 species
GUUUGAUCCUGGCUCAGAUUGAACGCUGGCGGCAUGCUUUACACAUGCAAGUCGAACGGGCUUGGGGGCUUGCUCCCAAGUUAGUGGCGAACGGGUGAGUAAUACAUCGGAACGUACCGUGUAGUGGGGGAUAACGUAGCGAAAGUUACGCUAAUACCGCAUACGAUCCACGGAUGAAAGCAGGGGACCUUCGGGCCUUGUGCUAUACGAGCGGCCGAUGUCUGAUUAGCUAGUUGGUGAGGUAAAGGCUCACCAAGGCGACGAUCAGUAGCGGGUCUGAGAGGAUGAUCCGCCACACUGGGACUGAGACACGGCCCAGACUCCUACGGGAGGCAGCAGUGGGGAAUUUUGGACAAUGGGCGCAAGCCUGAUCCAGCCAUGCCGCGUGUCUGAAGAAGGCCUCGGUGUAAGG